UACGUAGGGUGCAAGCGUUGUCCGGAAUUAUUGGGCGUAAAGAGCUCGUAGGCGGUUUGUCGCGUCUGCUGUGAAAACUCGGGGCUUAACUCCGGGCCUGCAGUGGGUACGGGCAGACUAGAGUGCGGUAGGGGAGACUGGAAUUCCUGGUGUAGCGGUGAAAUGCGUAGAUAUCUGGAGGAACACCGGUGGCGAAGGCGGCAUCCUGGACCGACACUGACGCUGAGGAGCGAAAGCCAGGGGAGCAAACGGG
rnacentral:rRNA from 1 species